rnacentral:rRNA from 1 species
UCGAAAUUUAAUUUUUUAAUUAAAAAGUUAAAAUAUGUUAAAAAGACGAGAAGACCCUAUAGAGUUUUAUAUUAAAUAAUAUUUAAAUUAUUUAUAAAUUUCAUUAAUUAUAAAUUUUAUUUAAUAUUUUGUUGGGGUGAUAGAAAAAUAAAAAAAACUUUUUUUAAAAAUAGUCAUUAAUAAGUGAAUAAUUGAUCCAAUUUUAUUGAUUAUAAGAAAAAAUUACCUUAGGGAUAACAGCGUAAUUUUUUUUUUUAGUUCUUAUAAAAAGAAAAGUUUGCGACCUCGAUGUUGGAUCAGGACAAA